AAUGAAAUGCCUGACUAAAAGGUUUAUUUUGAUAGAAUAAAUAAUGCUUAAAAUGAGCUUUCAUUA
rnacentral:tRNA from 1 species